AUAUCACACUGAAAACACCAGUUCUUGUUUGAUCACUGAAGUUAAGCAACAUUGAGCCAAAUUAGUACUUAGAUGGGGUACUGCUUGGGAAC